GACGAACGCUAGCUACAGGCUUAACCCAUGCAAGUCGAGGGACCGGCGCAAGGGUGAGUAACACGUAUCCAACCUGCCCUUUACACGGGGAUAGCCUUUCGAAAGACAGAUUAAUACCCGAUGUAAAGUAUGGGGAUGCGUGCCAUUAGGUUGUUGGUGAGGUAACGGCUCACCAAGCCUGCGAUGGAUAGGGGUUCUGAGAGGAAUGUCCCCCACAGUGAAACGGAGACACGGUCCAAACUCCGACGGGAGGCAGCAGUGAGGAAUAGUGGUCAAAGGGCGUUAGCCGGAACCAGCCAAGUAGCGUGAAGGAUGAAGGCUUAUGGGUCGUAAACUUCUUUUAUAGAAGAAAAUGUAUUAUAUGAAUAAGGAUCGGCUAACUCCGUGCCAGCAGCCGCGGUAAUUC
rnacentral:rRNA from 1 species